rnacentral:lncRNA from 10 species
CUGAGACCUUCAAUGAGGUGAUGCGACUCUUUUGUUUGGGCCCUCUUCUCAGGAUAUUGUGACAUUGCUGAGCCCAGCAUCUAGGUGAUGUGACUCUUCUCUACUGUUUGGUCUCUACCCAAAAAGGGAUUGUGACAUAUCACUCUGUCAAGAACCUAGAAGAGGAGGGGAUUGUAGCAUAUUCCUAAUGGAGCACCAAGGUGAUGUGACACUGCUGCCUGGUCCCUGCCCUCAGAGAAGAUUGUGACAUAUCACUGCCCCGAAACCCAGGUGUGAUUGUUACAUACACCUCUGCCCAGCACCUGAGUGAUUUGACUCUUCUGCUUGGGCCCAGCGUACAGAUGGGAUUGUGCCGCAUUGCUGGACCCAGCACUUAGGUGAUGACAGAAUUGUAACAUAUCCCUGGCUGAGCACUCAGGUGAUGUGACACUCCUGCUUGGCUUCUUCCCUCAGCAGAUUAUGAGAUAUCCAUGGCUGAAAUCCAGGGGGAAUUGUGACAUAUCACUUGGCCCAGUACCAAGCAAGUGUGACUGUUCUAUUCAUCAUAAGUCCUGCUUUCAAGGGAGAUUGGGACAUAUUGUGGGGCUCAACACCAAUGUGACAUUACUGUUUUGCCUUGGCCCAGACCUUAAAGGCACUGUGACGUAUUGCUCGGCUCAGCAACAAGGUGACGAGAGAUCCUGUGUGGACAUUGACAACAGAGAGCAUUGUGACAUAUCUUUGGGAGCAUCAGCUAUUUGAUGUGACUCUCCUUUUAUACCAAGGCUUUGCUCAUAGGGGAGACCGUGAUGUAUCUUCUGGCCCAGAAAUCAGGCGAUGUGUUUCUCCUGCCUGAGCUUUGCUCACAGGGAGCAUUGUGACAUAUCACUGAGCCCAGCACCCAGGUGAUGGGACUCUACUGCCUGUCCCCUGCUUUCAGGAGGAAAUUGUAACAUAUCUCUGACCAAGCACCCAGGUGAUAAGUCUUCUGCCUGGUGCCUGUUCUCAGGGAAGAUUGUGACAUAUCCCUGGCCCAGCAACCAGAUGAUGCAGAUGACGUAUCUCUCCUGCUCACUCUCUAUCCACAGGUUCUGCCCACAAAGGAGAUUGUGGCAUACUGCUGGGCCUAACACUAAGGUGAUGUUACUUCUCUGCUUUGGCUAUGUCCUUAGAAGGCAUUGAGACACACUGCUGGGCCCAGCACCAAGAUGAUGUGAGUCCUCUGCCUGAACCCUGACCACAGGGAGCAUUGUGACAUAUUUCUUGACCCACUGCAAUCUCUCCUAUGGACAAAGCCCAGGUUGGAUUGUGACAUAUACUUUAGCCCAGCUCACAGUUGUGAUAAUGACACUCAUACUGACAAAUCAGUCAGUAGGAGAGAUACUGGCACUUGUAGCUAAACUUAGAGAAACAGGUUAUGUAACUCUCCUUGCUGGGUCCUGCCUACAGGAAGCUUUAUGAUCUAUCUGUGUAUUCAUCAUCCAGGUGUUAUGACUCUCGUCUUUUCACUGGAACCUGCCAAAAAGGGUGAUUGUGACAUAUCACUGGACCCAGCACCUUGGUGAUGUGACUCUCCUCUCCUCCUUAGGCCCUGCUUACAUUGUGUCUGUUGAAAUACGGCUGGUCCAACACCUAGGUAAUGUGACUCUCCUGCAUAGGCCUUGCUAAUAGGGGAUGUAUGACAUAUGUUUUGUUUAUCACUUAAGUGAUGUUACUCUCCUUUUCUUCCUGAAUCCUGUAAAAGGUGGGGGAUUGUGACCCUAUCACUGGACCCAGCACAUAAGUAAUAUGAGUUUCCUGCAUAGGCUCUGUUCAGAAGGGUAUUAUGACAUAUCUUUUUGUUCAUCACUUUGUGACUUGUCUUUUGACUGGAACCUGCCAAAAAGGGUGAUUGUGACAUAUUGCUGGACCCAGCACCUAGGUGAUGUGGCUCUCCUUUUUUUCUGGGCCUCACAUAUUUUGGGUAUUGUGAUGUAUAGCUGGGCUCAACACCUAGCAGUUGGGGAGCUCCUUUCUUGACCAUUCCCACAAAUGACAUAUCUCUGCUAUGACCGCCUAUGACACAUGACCUAAAUAUGUGACCCUUCUUUUCUGCCUGUACCCUGCUAACAGAGAAGAUUGUGACAAAUUGCUAAGUGCAUUGUAUCUUGUGCUAACCUUCUAUCUCAGCCUGUGACCAAGAAUGCCUAACUGCCGGGGAAUGCAGCCCUGUAGGUCUCAACCUCAAUUUGCCCAGCCACUAUUCAAAAUAGAGUCACUCUGGUUUAAAUG